UCAGCCUGGUUGGCAAUCAGGUGUCGAGUGCAAGUGCACAAGGGAGCUUGACUGUGAGACUGACAGGUCGAGCAGGGGACGAAAAGUCGGAACUAGUGAUCCGGCGGUGGCUUGUGGAAGCGCCGUCGCUCAACGGAUAAAAAGGUACCCCCGGGGGAUAACAGGCUGAUCUUGCCCAAGAGUCCAUAUCGACGGCAUGGUUUGGCACCUCGAUGUCGGCUCGUCGCAUCCUGGGGGCUGGAGUAGGUCCCAAGGGGUUGGGCUGUUCGCCCAUUAAAAGCGGUACGCGAGCUGGGUUUAGAACGUCGUGAGACAGUUCGGGUCCCUAUCCGCUGCGCGCGCAGGAAAACUUGAGAAGGGGCUGUCCCCUAGUACGAGAGGGACCGGGGACGGACGAACCUCUGGUGUGCCAGUUGUUCCGCCAGGAGCAU
rnacentral:ncRNA from 1 species